GACGAACGCUGGCGGCGUGCCUAAUACAUGCAAGUAGAACGCACAGUUUAUACCGUAGCUUGAUACACCAUAGACUGUGAGUUGCGAACGGGUGAGUCACGCGUAGGUAAACUGCCUGGUAGCGGGGGAUAACUAUUAGAAACGAUAGCUAAUACCGCAUAAUAUUAAUUAUUGCAUGAUAAUUAAUUGAAAGGUGCAAUUGCACCACUACCAGAUGGACCUGCGUUGUAUUAGCUAGUAGGUGAGGUAACGGCUCACCUAGGCGACGAUACAUAGCCGACCUGAGAGGGUGAUCUGCCACACUGGGACUGAGACACGGCCCAGACUCCUACGGGAGGCAGCAGUAGGGAAUCUUCGGCAAUGGACGAAAGUCUGACCGAGCAACGCCGCGUGAGUGAAGAAGGUUUUCGGAUCGUAAAGCUCUGUUGUAAGAGAAGAACGGGUGUGAGAGUGGAAAGUUCACACUGUGACGGUAUCUUACCAGAAAGAGACGGCUAACUACGUG
rnacentral:rRNA from 1 species